rnacentral:rRNA from 1 species
ACUCAAUAGAUACCCGGGUAGUCCACGCCCUAAACGAUGUCUACUAGUUGUCGGGUCUUAAUUGACUUGGUAAACGCAGCUAAACGCGUGAAGUAGACCGCCUGGGGAGUACGGUCGCAAGAUUAAAACUCAAAGGAAUUGACGGGGACCCGCACAAGCGGUGGAUGAUGUGGAUUAAUUCGAUGCAACGCGAAAAACCUUACCUACCCUUGACAUGGAUGGAAUCCUUGAGAGAUUGAGGAGUGCCCGAAAGGGAACCAUUACACAGGUGCUGCAUGGCUGUCGUCAGCUCGUGUCGUGAGAUGUUGGGUUAAGUCCCGCAACGAGCGCAACCCUUGUCAUUAGUUGCUACGAAAGGGCACUCUAAUGAGACUGCCGGUGACAAACCGGAGAAGGUGGGGAUGACGUCAAGUCCUCAUGGCCCUUAUGGGUAGGGCUUCACACGUCAUACAAUGGUACAUACAGAGGGCCGCCAACCCGCGAGGGGAGCUAAUCCCAGAAAGUGUAUCGUAGUCCGGAUUGUAGUCUGCAACUCGACUGC